GAUGAACGCUGGCGGCGUGCCUAAUACAUGCAAGUAGAACGCUGAAGGAAGGAGCUUGCUCUUUCCGGAUGAGUUGCGAACGGGUGAGUAACGCGUAGGUAACCUGCCUGGUAGCGGGGGAUAACUAUUGGAAACGAUAGCUAAUACCGCAUAACAGUAGAUGUUGCAUGACAACUAUUUGAAAGGGGCAAUUGCUCCACUACCAGAUGGACCUGCGUUGUAUUAGCUAGUUGGUGAGGUAACGGCUCACCAAGGCGACGAUACAUAGCCGACCUGAGAGGGUGAUCGGCCACACUGGGACUGAGACACGGCCCAGACUCCUACGGGAGGCAGCAGUAGGGAAUCUUCGGCAAUGGACGGAAGUCUGACCGAGCAACGCCGCGUGAGUGAAGAAGGUUUUCGGAUCGUAAAGCUCUGUUGUAAGAGAAGAACGAGUGUGAGAGUGGAAAGUGCACACUGUGACGGUAUCUUACCAGAAAGGGACGGCUAACUACGU
rnacentral:rRNA from 1 species